rnacentral:lncRNA from 1 species
UGGACCAUCCUCAUUUACUAUCCACACCAUCCUUUUGAGCAAAAAUACAAUUAUACCCCCAGACUUAAAAAAAACUGAAUCAAUCAAACAGGAAAAGAAAACUUCUCCCCACACCAUCUCCCUCUCUCACGGUUUCUCUCUUUCUCUCGGCCCUUUCAUUCUCAACUUUCCCAAAUGAAAAAAAAAAAAAAACCGUAGCCACCACCCUGAUCUUUGUUGGAGAAGGAAGGAAGGAGGAAGAAGGAUCUUGAAGAAGUUGGAGAAGGAAGCAAGAAGAAGAAGCAAAGGAACAAGAAAGAGGAAGAAGAGGAAGAAGGAGAAGUCAAACAUCAUCUUGACAAAAUCGCUUGGUUUCCCGAUCUGUUUCAAUACACAAUUUAAAUUGCGGUAGCUUUAUGCUUACGGCAAUUUAAAUUGGGGUAGUACUAUGUUCCUCUGUUUUUCUGUUCCUUGAUAUCCUUUGGGUUUUUGAAUCGCAAAAUCGGGUUGUGUUCGUGAGCCUUGGACAGAACAUAAGAGAAAUCGAUUUCUAAAACCUUCUGUUAAAUUCAAAACCUGCCUGCUAUGUUCCACUGUUGGAUCCGCAAUUAAAAUUGCGAUAGCUUUAUCCUUUCCGUCAUUUUAAUUGCAGUAGUGCUAUGUUUCUGAUUGUUUGAUCUGCAAUUAAAAUUGAGUAAACUACCGCAAUUUAAAUUGAGUAAACUACCACAAUUAAAAUUGAGUGAACUACCGCAAUUUUAAUUGAGUAAACUACCGCAAUUUAAAUUGCGGUACCUAUAAAAUGUCCGCAGUUUAAAUUGCGGUACGAACCAGAACCCAGAUUUUCACGAAAAACGGUAAAAUUUCAAAAAUGACACCUUUUUUGAGCUUCUAUUCUUCUCUUUAUCUCACCCUUUGACGUUUACACUGACUUGAAGCUUCAAAUACCUCUAAAGUGUGUGAUAUGUUGAUUUAGAAUAUGAAAUAGGGAUAUGGGGAAGGUGAGAGUGGAAGAGGAAGAAGGAAGAAGGAAGAAGGAAGAAGGAAGAAGGAAGAAGAAAUGGGGUUGGGAGAGUAUUUUUUUCCCUGCUUUUAAUGUUUUAUACGUUGGGGGUGCUUUUAGGAUUAAAAAAAUAAGGGAUGGUGUGGAUAGUAAUUGGGGAUGGUCCAGAACCCAGAUUUAUAAGUCACUUUUAUCUAAUUAUCUAGAAUUAAGAAAAGUAGUUGCUAGCAAUAAAUUAGUAAAAAAAUUUAUCAACUUUCCUAGAUUGCCCCAUAAAUUUCUCUCUCCAAAUUUAUUUUCUUCAAAGUCACACCAUCUCUUUCAUACUCCCUCUGUUCCUAUUUAUCUGUCCAGGUAGAGAAGGUUCACACAAAUUAAGGAAAGCAAUUAAUUGUGUUGAUUUUCAUAAAAGUAUUAUUUGUUUUCCUAUAUCACCCUUUAGAAUGUAUUUUAUCUUUCUUCAUUUAUUGUUUCUGUAAGGGCAUUUAUUGGAAAAACAUCAAUUAAUGCUCUCUUGAAACUCUAAGUGGACAGAUAUAUAGGAACGCAAUUUUUUCUUCAAAGUGGACAGUUAAUAAGGAACGGAGGGAGUAAUAAAUAUGAGGGUAAUUUUGGAAAAGGGAAUUAAAUGAUGCAUUGGUCUUAUAAAGUGACUUAUAUUUUAGGAUAAAAAAAACUCUAAAAAUGUGACUUAUAAAUGAGGACGGAGGGAGUAACUCAUUUCUCUAUCUUCUCUUCAUAUUUAUCAAAGGUGGAAGUGGAAAAGAAUUGUAAACACAACAUCAUUCAAUUAGUGGAGAGGACGAGUUGAGGAGUUUUGAUUUUGUGUGUGUGUGUGCAGUGAGCGUAAUCGAUAGAAGCAGGUAAAAAUAAUGGUCCAAAUUUCGACUUUUUUCAGGAGUCCAUAUUAGAUAAACCCCUAAAAUAAAUUAAGGUAAAAUAUGGAUUACACAUAAUGUUUCACUAAUUUUCAUAUUCAUUUUAGGUGUCUAAAGUCUCUGCAAAUGUGAGGAAAGUCCUUUAAGUGGAGCUUCCGGGUGCACAAUUGCCUUGGUGUCGUCGUGCUUAGGUAGUUUAUCUCGACCUUGCGUAAGACUGCACCACCACUUUUCUAGUUUAUAUGAGGUGGUCCGUGACUGAACCAGGUUACGUUGGCCGCUUUUAUGGUGCUUGCUUAAGAGCAAGCCCUGGUGGGCCGACCCAAUGUCGUCAACUAUUAUUUUGAUUUUUGUUUUCAUUGGCGCCGUCUUUCUAGACAUUCGUGCCGACCAUACUGUUUUCUACAUUCAUAUACUUCGUUGAGGGCCUACGAAACUCAUAUAUGUCUUGCGGUGACGUCUUGGCUGGUGAAGUAUGGAAAUACGUUCUCACUCUUAUUGCUUCAUAUAUCAGAUGAAGCUUCACCUUCAGGUCCAAACUUGUAAUGAGUGUCGCUUCUAUGUAGAAUUUCCUUAGGAAGUCUUGCAACGACUCCUUAUUUCCUUGCUUUAGUUUUUCUAAGGUAUGUGAGAUUUUAGGUAGACCUUUGCUUGUAAUGAAGUGGUGAGCGAAUUGUUGAUAAAAAAAUUUCCAACUUCUUAUUGUCUCAGUUUGGAUGAAGAGACUAGUACAAUAAGAAGAAAGUUGCGCCGUGAAUCACCCACUGCAUUGAAAGUAAAAAGUUUGACAGAUUUUCGGUGUAAUUCACUGUCGGGUUUGCUUCCCAAUAUUAACACAGCUUGUUUACACGGAUUUUUGGUAAACAAAUAUCCUCUUAGUUCGACUAAAGGAAGUUUAGAUUCGGGGUCCUUUUGAGAAAACGCUUUGCCAAAGUGUAGUGUGUGAACGAGUGUAUUCUCGACAAUAAUAAACAACUCAAACGAAACUGGACUUUAUUGAGUAUGAGUCGAUUACAAAACAGUCAAGCAAACUUAAAAUAGCAUGAAAGCAAAUUUCGACAAAACAAGUUACACAUAAGAACUGGGAAUUAACAAACUGAAAUACAAGGAAAUUAAAGCGUUGGUUCUGCAAUAUACUCCUCCAUCAUCACGUUCUGCUCUCGAAGUCUCAUUGAUGCGGACGUUUGGAGCUUUUGGUGAAUUUUCAGAGUUUUUAGUUGGGAACCCUUUCUUCUGCUGCUGCUUCCUCUAUUUAUACUGUUCUUUCUGCCCAUGUUCUUGGCGGUUUUACUUGGAUGCACGAUGGCUUCGUGGGUUUUGAAUUUUGGCGCCAUACCCCACGUUUAGCCGAUGGUCUUCGCGCACGUGACUCUAUUGCCACGUGGAUGGUUCUGAGUCGCGGGCAACCGUUGCUAUUCGUGGCAUCGUGGGUGUACGCACGUGCUUGUAAUCGCUUGUUAUUCGGUAACUGCCCCUUCCAUUAAGAUGAUCGAGAUUUCUUCAUCUUCUGAGUGUGUCGAGUUAUGGCUUUUACUAACUUGUCUUUGAGGGACAUCGUGUGCUGAGUUGCCGGCUUCGCCCAACCCCUUCUGUCGAGAAACCACUUUUUGCACCAUGGUGUCGAUAAUUGUAAUGCUUGUAAUUUUGGCUUAACAGUUGCCCCCGAAAAAUGUUGGUUGUCGACUGCUUUAGCUCAAAGACACCAAGCAUUUUUUCUUAUCGCAGCCGUUCGAUUCCAACGAUUCAAAUGCUUUGUGCUCUCGACCCUUUGAUCUUCAAGUCCAAUCGGCAGCCAUAACGUCUGAUGACUUCUCCACUAGCUGACAGUUAUAGCCUUUUUAGGGCCAUGAUUUCACCUAUGCCAAAAAGCUGAGAGGUGACAUGAAUUAACUAAUAAAAUAAUCGCUUGGAACCCAAAAUUUUUAUAAAUUGCUGCUCAAUGCGGCUUGGGUUCCGUUUUCCCUUCCGUUUAUAAAUACCCUCUUGGUAUUCCUUGUUCAAGCUUUACUCUUUCAUCCAACCUGCAACUUCUUCUUCCAGACUUCAUCACUUCAUCUUCUUCCGUCUUCUCUGAAAUACUUGCUGCGUCUUUCAAUGGCUUCCAAUCCUGAGCAAACCAUUCCGUUGGCCACCGAGCUUAAGCUGGAUGAGUCCAAGCGCGUGCCAAUCCCAGAACCUCCCAACGAAGCAAAGAAGAGAGCUAUCUGGAAAUCCCAGGUACUCAUUCCUUUCUCUGUUAAUGGUACUUUACGCGCCAUUUUGGGCCCUUUGAAAGUAGUGAAGCAUGAUAGGCCCAAUAGUCUCCCUGAAGAACAUGAAUCAUUUCACCCUAGCGUUAGGGGAGAGGAGCUCAUUUUGGCAUUUCAACCCUCUUACCGUAUGCCAUUUCUUUCUGACCCAAAACGAGCCUUUCGUUCAGCCCCUCCUAACCCUUCUGCUAACGACAAGGCCUACCUGAAAUGGUUAGAUAGAGUUGAGGGAGAUAAGAGACAACACUGGAAGGAUGUAGGGAUUUUCGACUUGAUUCAGUUGUCGAGAUCUCCAAUCUCGUAUAACCCUGCUAUGCUGUUGAGUGCACUUUAUUUCUGGGAGAGGUCCACUAAUUGCCUUCAUGUUCCCUUUGGUAUGAUCACCCCCACCCUCUUGGAUGUUGCUGCUAUCACCGGAUUGUGGCCCAUUGGUGAUGAUUAUCACUCUGCACCUGCUCCUGUUAAACCCAUCUCGAUCCCUACUGACAACGUUUCUUUUAGUCGAUUCAUUAAGGACCAUUAUGUCGAGAGUGGUGAGGUGUCUGAUGCUGAACAUGUCGCUUUCUUGCUGUAUUGGCUGUCUGCUUAUGUCUUUUGCACCAAAUCUUUGCGCAUACCUGCCAAGCUUUUGCCUUUAGCCAAUCUGCUUCAUGAGGGUCGACAACUUGCUAUGGCUAGGCUCGUCCUUGGCAACCUGUAUCAAAUGCUGAAUGAAGCUGUCGAGGAUAUCCGGAACACUAAGACCGUCUCUCUGAAUGCGGCUGGACCACUUUAGCUGUUUCAACUUUGGUUGAAUGCAGUCUUCGAAUCGCUUCUGCCGGUACAAGAUAAUCCUCUAACUGUUUCUAACACCAGGAUUGAUGCCCAUAGGCUCGAGACCCUGACCCCUGCUUAUGAUGCGUCGAGUACUUUACCAUGUUUCUCGAGCUGAAACACUACCGUUCCAGUUUCUCUCCUUACAGCAAGGCUAUUCGUGGCCCUUUCUGGCUGAGGAAUUCUUAUCCUAAUGCCUCUGAUUCUGCGCUGCCCAAGGAGCACCACAUCACACUUUGGAGGACCCUCUUAUCUCCUAGGGUUUUAACUGUGGGCUUUGCUAGCAGUGACUACACUCUAUGUGGCUACAACCCUCAAUUGGUUUCUCGACAGUUUGGGCUUAGCCAAGUUCUACCCAACACUUUAUUUGACAAGAGUCUAGUCCUGUACCCCGGAACUAUUAAGAGGGUUUCUGUUUUCGACAAGACUGUUCAAUUUUAUAACAAGAGACUCCUCAACCUGAGCCCCUUCACUUACGCUCCUUCAUAUUAUGCCACUAAUGCUUUCAAAGCCUGGUGGUCUGAGUAUUGGGCUCAAAUUUCGAAGCCCCUCGUCGAUUGUCUGCAAUGCAUGACAGAUACUUUUCUUUUGCAGAAGCAGGAUCCGAAGAAGACCAAAGGUAUGCACCUGGCAGAAAUUCGAUCUUUUCAAGAGUUCUUUGGUGUGGUAUAUUACCCAACUCUUCGCCUUCGAGAUACAGUUGCGCAAGCAGCUCAAGUAUUAAGGCAAAAAUGGGAACUUAAAGCCAAGAAAUCCAAGUUAGUGGUUCCUCCUGGUGAGGAAGGUCUAUCUUUUGUUAUUCGAAAAACUGGCUUUAGGUUCCCGUCUUUGCCUACGAGUAAGUUUGCAUUGGCUUUUCCACCGAUCUUGCCUAAAUGGGUUGAUCAUGUAAACAUAAAUGUAUUGGCCAAUCAAGCUCUACCUCCUCGAAAGCGAGUGACUUGGACUAAGUACCACCUAUGGAACUUUCCGUAUCAUGUGCCCGUCGAAAUCUUCAACCACAUAUCGCUGAACAUGCGUAUUGGUCAAGGUAAUACUUCGACUUGGCCUUGGUUUUCCUGUUUUACUUCUUAAUUUUUCUUUUGUUUGCAGCUGAAGUCAUUAUUUGACCAGCUCCUCAAGUUAUUUCCCCAGUGGCUCAUUCCUCCAAGGACCAGCCAGUCGUGAUCGAGGAUGAUGAUGAUGAUGAUGAGGAUGAUGAUGUCAGUCUUGCUGACAAGCUCAAGGUACUUUCCUCAUGCUUUUACCUUUUCCUUUUCGAUUUCCUUGGAUUAUGGGCUGACGUAUGUUUCGACAGAGUCGGAAACGGAAACCUAAGCCUGUUGCUUCGGCCAGUCAGAAGAGGGCCAAGGGGGUUGGUGUUUCCACCCCUAGUGGGGCUUCUAAGUUGGCAUCUGAUGCCCAAACAGAAGUCGCUGACAAAGAGGGUGGUGGCGACGCCGCCAUUCAGGUAUGUUCUCCAUUCUCGAGGGUACCUUGUGAUAUUUUUAACCCGUGGUUUCCUAAUCUGAGUCAUCUCUUGUUUGUUUUGUUUCCUUUAGACUGAUGUUCAUGAGCACUCUACUUCCAAUCCUCCAUCCCGUGAGAAUUCCCCAGCUCCCAUUCCUGCAAGAUCCAAAACUGAAGGUGUCGAGAAACCUCCCAAGGCCGCAUCCUCAGCUAAAAAGACCUCCACAUCUAAGGGAAGGAGGAAGGUCAGGAGCAAAUCUCGUCAUAAGUCUCCUCGCCGUUCCAGAAGCUCCACCAACUCGAGCCCUUCUAAAGACUCUGCUUGCCAGGUAUCUUUAUACUUUUCAUGUUUUAUUGACUCCUCUAAUAUACGUUUUACUUUAUCGAAAGGGCAUUAAAGAGGUUUUUCUUGCAGGAGACUCAGGGUGCAACUUCUCCCAUCCGCGAAACAGAGCCUCUUCCAGGCAAGGAUGAUAGCCCUAUGCCUCCUCCAAUAUCGACUGCCACUGUGCAACAUUCGCCUAAAAUCAAGGGUGGCUCUUCAUCUCAUGUGUCUAGUGAAAAGCUCGACACUUUAUUUGAGGAGGACCCGCUGGCAGCUUUGGAUAGCUUCCUCGAUGGCACCUUGGAAUGGGACUCUCCACCCCGUCAAGCUGAUGCUACUGCUGAGACUGCUCAAUCAAGUGGGGUAGCCAAUUCUCAGCAGAUCGAGGAGAGUAUGGGUCGGCUGAAGGCUAUUGUCUUCGCCAAUGGGUUUCUCGACCAGAUCCAAGCUGAUCCUCAAGCGAGCCAUGCUGCUAAGGAAUUGCUUGUCUUCCUUCUUGGCCAAAAACUCGAUUCUCAACAGGUUGCUGCUUUGGCUAACCUUCAAUCUUUUUUAGUGGAUGCUUCAGCCACCUUUCAUCAAAUCAAGGAUGUUGGUCAAGCUGUCAGCUUUAAGGAGGCAAAAGUCUCUGCUGGUAAAGCUCAAGUUGCAGCAAUGAAAGAGGACUUCAAGAAGUUCACUGCUAGGAAGGUUUUGAUCGCAGAUGAAAUCUCUGAAGUCGACAUCAAACUUGAAGAACUGCAUCGAGAGAUUACCAAACUGGAGAAAAAGCGAGCUGAUUUGGUCGAGGAAGGCCCUGCUGUAAAGGAUCAGUUGGACGUGCUUACUAAAGACUCCAAGGCUCUGAUCAUCUCGACAAAAGAGGUUAUCAAGGAAUUGGAGAUUGAUCAGGCUGUGAAGAAGGGUCUCGAUGCCAAGAUUGCCACCUUUGCUGAUUGUUUGAACUCUUUUAAGACCCUGCUGUAGGACUCUUUUUUGUUUAUUAAUAUGUAAUGAUGGCACUAUUCUAACCAUGGCCUUCGAUGCCAAUUGCGUGUAAUAUUUCGACAAUGGUUUUGGCACCUAAGCCAUAUAAUUUGACGUUUAAUUUGCCAAGUCUUUUCAGUUUCCACUACGCAUUUAUUUUGACGGCUAUUCAUUUAUUGUUGCAUCGCUCAAACUUCCUUGCACCCCCUCACACAGUCGUCGCUUUGUUUCUGGGGAAUGAACCAAUUUAUUGCAAUCUUAUACCACGUUUUCUUGAUUCAAUGCAAGUCUUUGUUCAUUAAAAGCCAAAGCUAUUCACGAUGGUGGUGGUAAUCUGCAUGGCCUGUAACCGUAAGAUGAAGAUUUGGCAACUGAUUGCCACUAAUUAAUGCAUUCCUUGGUUGUUACCCUAUAAAUAGAGCGUUUUUGGUUACUCCUUUUCAGUAACUUCUCCAAACUCUCCCUUGUUUCUUUUCCAGAAUUCUUUUCCUGCUUUCAUAAAUCCCUUCAGCCAUGGCUAGCCGUCGUGUUCUCAACCAGAUCCGGAACUUGGCUUUUGAUCAAGACUUAUUCUGGGAGUUGCACUCUUUCCUCCCUUUGGCUGAAGAGCUUACGGGGCUCAUUAACCAACUUCUUUCGAGGAAUAUUAUUGCCUCGGUAAGAAUUCCUCUUCAGGAGUUCUUGAGCCUCCUGCAUGAAGCUGUACCUCUAUAUGAAGAACACCGGGAGCUUACUGCUCGAGUGUUCUUUGCUGAACACCAGAUUGAUGAGAAGAUGGAGGAGUUUGAGGAGUUGAAGGCUGCUCUUAGCCAGGCGAACCUCGAGGGGAGUGUGGGAGCUCUGAAACCCUUGGUGGACAAGCUUUCUUCUACUGCCCGUGAAGAGCUGGAUAUUCGACAGGAGAAAUCGCGACUGGAAUCCCAACAAGAAGAUGUCUUGAGGCGCAUAGAGCCUCUUAGGGCCAGAUACAAUAGUUGUAGGGCCAACCCUCCUUUUUAAAAUUUCUUUGCCAUAGUUGUAAUGCUCUAUUCUAUUCAAUAAAACAUUCGCAUUUGGCAAUUUAUUCUCUUUUACUUCUUUAUUCGAUGUUUAUCUCAUGCAAUGUUGGCUUAUACGUUUUUAAAUAUUUGCCAUUUAUCGUCAUUUGUCGAUUACCUCCUAAUUCCUUAAUCGAAUAAGCGUUGUUUAAAAGUACUUUCUCGACUGAAAAAGGGCCUUCCCAGUUUGGGGACCAUUUUCCGUAACGUUUAUCUUUUUUAUCAAUUGGUAAGACGACCUUCCAUACGUAAUCACCAAGCAUAAAAGAUUUAGCUCUAACCUUUUUGUUAUAAGCUUUAGCAAUGCGAUCCUUUUGCCUGGUUAAGGUAUCCAACACCAAUAAUCUUUCUUCGUCGAGAUUGACUAAUUCGUCAAGCAUCAUACUCCAAUAAUCUUCACUUGGAAUUUCCUCUUGCCUUUGAAUUCUGCAUGACUGUAAAUAUACUUCUACUGGUAGUACCGCUUCUUGACCAUAUGCUAGUCGAAAAGGCGUUGCUCCGGUAGAUUCCUUAGGUGAAUUCCUGUAAGCCCAAAGCACUUGGCCUAACGUUUGAUGCCAGUUUUUAGGUUUUCGACCAACAUGUUUUUUAAUCAAGGAGAUCAACGUUUUGUUGGCCGCUUCGACUUGACCAUUCGCUUGAGCAUAAUAGGGGGUCGAGGUUAGGAGUUUUAUACCCCAAGAUUCUGCGAAUGAUGCUACCUUUUGGCCUACAAACACUGUGCCUUGGUCUGUAGUCAGUGACUCAGGUAGCCCAAAGCGGUACACUAUGUGAUUCUGAAUGAACUCGAUCACCGUGUCCUGGGUCACAUUUUGUAGAGGAAUUGCCUCUACCCACUUGGUAAAGUAAUCUAUAGCCACUAUGAUGUACUUAUGCUGCCUAGAAGAACAUGGGUUAAUUUCGCCAAUUAGGUCUAAAGCCCAACCCCUGAAUGGCCAAGGCUUAAUGAUCGAGUGUAGUUCACUUGCUGGCACAUGUUGUAUCCCCGCGUGUCUCUGACAAUCUUGGCACCUCUUGGCAUACUCCAUACAAUCUUUCAUAAUAGUAGGCCAAUACAUCCCUUGUCGAAAUAGGAUCCAUUUCAUCUUGAUUCCUGCCUGGUGGGCACCACAUAGCCCGUCGUGAACGGCUGAGAUCGCUAUGAACGCGUCGUCUUCACUUAAACACUUCAGUAGUGUUCCGUCGACGUUUUUCUUGAAUAGCUCGUUUCCCAUGAUGACAUAGCUCAUUGCCCUGUAUUUUGUCUUUCUAUCUGUAGUACCCACAGGAUUUUGCAAGUAAUCGACAAUUGGCUUUCUCCAAUCAUUAGGUGCCAUAUUGUCAAUGACCAGGAUGUCGAGGUUAGAGGGGUUUAGUUUUUCUUUGACCUCGAUAAGCUCUUUUAACCUACAUUUAUCGACCGUAUAUCCUGACGCGAUUUGUGCUAAUUCAUUGGCUUCUUGAUUGUCCACUCUGGAGACGUGACCUAGCCUAGCUUCGUCGAAUUUGGCCAACAAAUUGCUAGCUUUCGUGUAAUACCUAGCUAGAUUUUCACUAAUGCACUUGUAUUCCUUGGUAAGUUGCUUUAUUACCAACUCAGAGUCCCCUUUUACGACGACAUUCUUUGCCCCGAGGGCUAUCAGGAUCUCGAGGCCUGAUGUUAAUGCCUCAUACUCAGCCUCAUUGUUUGAGCAGUUACUCUUAAUCCUAAACUUGAAUUUCGUGGGGAUGCCCCUUGGGGAUACGAUGAACAUCCCGAUCCCAGUGCCAUUUUUAUGGCUAGAACCGUCGAAAAAUAGCUCCCAAGGUUGGAUGCCUACGUAAGUUAUGAUUUCUUGAGGCAAAGUAUGGUCUGCCAGGAAGUCAGCAAUUGCUUGUCCCUUAACCGCCUUCAGUGGGGCAUAAGUUAGUGAAUACUCGGUUAGGGCUAAAGCCCAUUUACCAAUUCGACUAUGCAAGAUAGGUUUGGAUAACAUGUGCUUUAUUAUAUCAUAAUGAGAAAAAACCAUUACAUCGAUUGGCUUUAUAUAAUAUUUCAGCUUUACACAAGAGAAGUACAAGCAUAAACACAAUUUCUCGAUCAUGGUGUAUCGAGUUUCUGCAUCAUUUAACACCCUGCUUAAGUAAAAUAUGGCUCUUUCUUUGCUAUCUUCAUCUUCUUGAGCCAACAUGCUUCCGAUGGUUCCAUCCGUGGCAGAGAUGUACAGCUUCAUUGGCUUUCCUCUUAUAGGUGGUGCCAUUAUAGGUGGGCUAGACAAGUACACUCUGAGUUCAUCGAACGCUUUUUGAUGCUCUGCUUCCCAGCGGAACGCAUCUUCCUUUUUAAGUCGAAGAAGUGGGGAAAAUGACUUGGUCUUCUCACUGAGGUUAGCAAUGAAUCUCCUUAGGAAGUUAAUCUUUCCCAAUAGUGAUUGCAGUUGUUUCUUGCUGGUUGGUGGACUAGUGUCGAGAAUGGCUUUAGCUUUGUUCUUGUUGAUCUCGAUGCCCUUUUUAUGCACCAAAAAACCCAAAAAAUCACCUGCAAUAACACCAAAGGCACAUUUAAGGGGAUUCAUCUUCAAGCCAUAUUUUCUCAUCCUCUCAAAGGAUUUCCUUAGAUGCAACAAAUGGUCAUCCCUUGAUGGGGAUUUCACCACGAUGUCAUCAAUAUAAACCUGCAUGAAGGUUUCUAUAAAAUCAUGAAAAAUGGUAUUGAUUACCCUUUGGUAGGUCGCGCCAGCGUUUUUCAACCCAAAUGGCAUGACCACCCAUUCGUAUGUCCCCAAGGCACUAGGACAUCGAAAAGCUGUUUUCGACACGUCCUCUUCUGCUAUGAAGAUUUGGUUGUAGCCUGAGUAACCAUCCAACAAGCUUAAGUAUUCGUGACCAGCAGCUGAGUCCACCAUCAUCUCAGCAAUGGGCAUGUGAUACUCGUCUUUUGGAGUGGCAGCGUUAAGAUCUCGGAAAUCUAUGCAAACUCUCAUCUUUCCAUUCUUCUUGAUUACUGGAACCACGUUGGCUAACCAGUCCACAUAUCGAGCUGUUCUGAUAAAUUUACACCUGAGGAGUCUUUCAAUUUCUUCCUUGAUUUUCACCAACACAUCUGGAUGGAACCUCCUGGGCAAUUGUUUGACUGGUUUCUUGUCUUCUUUGAUGGGCAACUUCAAUUCCACCACUUCUCGACUGAGGCCAGGCAUUUCAUCGUAAUCCCAAGCAAAACAGUCUUUGAAUUCCUUGAGUAAUUUCACCAUCCUGUCUUUUAGCUCCGGGUCAAUGAGAGCACUGAUGUACGUUGGCCUCUUUUCUAAGCCAUCACCCAGGUUCACUUCUUCUAAAGGGUCUUGCGCUUCCAUUUUCUUGGAAAAAUCGACCACUGGCUUCUCGAAGCCCAAUGCGCCGUCAUCAUAAAUGCAAUCUAGCCUCAGGUUGCAAAGGUCCUCGAAUCCACAUUCCUCGGCACUCCGCUCGUUUUCUUCUAUGCACGUGUCAUCCUUAUUUGUUGUUGCCUCCUCCUGAGGUGUUAAUUCGACGGGCAGGAUUGAGGCAUUGGUUUCGUCAGUAGCCAUUUCUUUGGCUAUUCUUGCGGCCUCUAAGGCCGUCCUUAUUCUUUUUUCGGCUGCGUAAGCCGAAAUUCGAGCUAGGCUCGAGUUAAUCAUCUUUAACCUCAUUUUGCCACUCAGUUGUGGCAUCCUUUUCUUCAUCGCUGUGCCAUCCACUCAUGGCAUCAGGUUUGUAUGCUUCAUUGAGGUUUAGGCCCCAGAUGGGAUCCAGCGUUACUGAGUACUCUGAGUAGGGGUUGAAGUAUUGGCUAGCCACUGUGUCUAAAGGAGCAAUUGUGGCUAAACUCUUCUCGAAAUUCUUCUUACCAACGUAGCUUGUUUCUGCUAAAUAGUAGCUUUGAUCUGCUUGUACAUUUUCGACAACUCCAUCAGCUUUCCAAAUGGAUAUACGUUGGUGUAAGGUCGAAGGCACUGCCCCCACGCCAUGAAUCCAUUCUCUUCCCAGCAGCAAAUUGUAAUUGGCCUUUGAAGGGACCACAAUGAACAAUGUGGAACGGGCUACUGUUCCUACGGUUAUGUUCAACAUAAUUGCCCCUAGGGAAGAACCUGUCUUUCCUUCAUAAUCAGAAAGCACCAUGUCAUGUGAGAUUAGAUCCGCUUCAGUUUUACCUAACUUCUUAAGCAUAAAUCCGGGCAUGAGGUUGAUUGCAGCUCCCCCGUCGACAAGGACUUUGUUAACACCCUUCUCCUCGACUCUGGCCCAAACAAAGAGCGGUUUCAAAUGGCUCUUCAUUUGCUCGGUUGGCCUUUGGAAGAUAGCUCUUUCAUCUUCGACAGAUCCUCUCUGCAUCACAUAAUAACACAAAGGAUUGUCAUCUGGUUCGUCGUCGACAUAGUAGUCUUCCUCGCUUUCAGUGACCUCUGAAAUUCUAUCAAAUUCUGCAGGUAGGAUAGACACGAUGCAGAUGAUGUUAAGCUCUUCUCCAUCACUGUCGUCGAAAUCUUCGAGCAUGUCUUCAUCCUCAUCCUCGACAACAUCCUUCCCUUUUUUCUUAGCUGGAUUUGGUGGUACGGUUGUUCCCUGUUUGAUGGCGUGGUCCAGCUGGUUGAUAAUCGACGCCACACUAGGUUCAUUGCGAGAGUUGUCUUCUGGCUUUAUGUCCCAUAGUGAACGGAACUUGCCACCUCUUUCCCUCUCAGCUUUCCUUUUCCUCAAAAAACGCCUGAACUGAGUCCUGGUCAUUUGUUCAGGAGCAUAGUAGUUCCCAGAGCCAUAGGAGUAGCUUCGUGACACACGGGAAUUGUUGAUGUAAGAGGAUCCCUGGCCUAAGUCGAUUUUCUGCCACUUAGGGUAUGGUUUUGGCCUUGGAGGCGUUGGCCUGAACCAUUGGUUUCUUGGCAAUCCAGCAUUGGGGAGGUAAGUUUUGUCUUUAUUGCUUGCUUUCUGGCCUUUAUGGCCAUCGAGUUCCUGGUCUCUCUCGACCCACUCCUCGUGAGGGUACUUCAAUCUCCUGGAUACAGGAGCCUUUCUCUGAUAAUGCCUUUUCAUUUCUGAAUCUUGAUAGGCCUUGGCUGCGGAUUUGUCGAAAACAGCGCUGCAUCGAGGGCACAGCAUAACUUCUUUCUCGCCAUCUUUGCUGCGGGAUAGAAACUCGACAAGGGUUUCUCCAGCCUUGGGGUAAACCUCUUCCAAGUUCACUUCCUUCACGACGUCUGGUUCUUCGACAGCCGUGUUUUCCUCCUUUGCCUCCUCGAGUGUCAGGCCCAGAUUCAGCUUCUCGGAAAUGUCGACCAUGCCAAUGUAGAAAGGUUCCACGUAGUUGGCUUCAGCUACCUGCAGUGGGUCGGAAUCAAUCUUCAUUUGACUUUUGGUUUUUUCGUCAUACUUGAGCCUUCCUGAGUCCAAUGCCCCCUGCACAAGGUCCCUGAAACGAACACAUUGUGAGGUCCAAUGACCAAAAAAGUUGUGAUAUUUGCAAUAUUUCUUCCCUUUCCUUUGUUCAGGAGAAGGAAGUUUUUGGUCUUUAGGGACCACAAGCAAACCAUCAGACACAAGUAUAUCAUAGAUUGCAUCGCAUUUGGCCACAUCAAAAGUAUAAGUUUUCACAGCAGGAAUCGUGUUCUUGGGGUUUUCCUCCCCAAGUUUGUUUUCACGUGGUUUCAAUGCUUUACAAACAUAAGGAUCCCCUGGCUGAAGUUCAGCCAGAUUGACGUCAUUCAAAUCGACGUCCGCCGGGACUUCUCGAUAGACACAUGGACUCUGACCUACUGAAUCCGCGUCUAUGUACGCUACCUUCUCCUUCUUUGGCCACUUGGUAGUCUUGGCCCUUUCCUCUGACUUUUCGGCCUUUAGCAAUUCGAUGUGCCUCACUCUAUCUGCGAGUAAAGACAUAUCUCGAAUAUACUGAGUGUCGAUUUUCUUUCUAAUGGAAUAUUCUAGACCACCAGCGGCUAAGACAACUAGCUCGUGUUCAGGGACAUGGGUGAAACAUCGGGAUUUAAGCAUCCUAAACCUGUUUAGGUAAUCAUCAAUAGACUCCGCUGGCUUUCUUUUAACACUAGCCAGGUCCUUCAAACUUACUUUGCACUCUCCCCUAAAGAACUGUUCAUGGAAAAUUCUUUCCAACUGGGCCCAUGUAUGGACUGACCUAGGAGCGAGGGUGGUGAACUAGGUAAAUGCAUUUUUGGUUAAAGAACUCGGGAAGUACUUCAUUUUUAAAUUUUCAUUGAUGGCUAAGUCUCCUGCUUCGAUUUGGUACCUGGCUAUGUGUUCUACCGUGGACUCUCCUGAAUCCCCCGAGAACUUAGUGAAUUUGGGGACCUUCCAGCCUCGAGAGAGUUCUGCUUCGAGAACCUCCUCUGUAAAGGCUGACACAAAAUGGGGUCUAUUCGCGAAACCCACGUUGAAACCAUGUUGGUUCAACAAUUGCUCCACCACAGCAGCAACAUUUUGUUGCCCCCCAGCGUUCUGGUGUCGAAUUCUUUCUAGCACACCAUCAGCGUGUUCUUCCCUGUUUACCAUAUACACAUUUUGCAAUGGCGGCUGCACUGCCUCGUACAAAGGGUUUGCCCUCAUCUCUUGGUGUUGCGGCGCCUGAUAGCGCACCGGGGCAGGGAUAUGGUUAGGCAACGGGAUUUGGUUAAUCCCUGGUGCCGGUUGGAUUUCGACUGGUGCCCCCAGGGCUGUCGCCAAACGAUCCAUCUGUCGUUCCAAAUGCUGAUUAUUGGCAUUAUUAUUUUGGAGCACAGGGUUGAUUAGCUCACCUAUCUGUCGAGAUAGCAUAUUAACCAUUUCAUGGUUACUAUCAUCUACUUGCUGCCUAAUGGCUUGAAGUGAACCAUUAUUCAUACCUGUAGAUAAAUAAAUUUGUGAACUAGAUCCAGGAAUAGAAGGGCUAACUCGACUCCCCAAAUUUAGCAUUGUUCCAUUUGCCCCAAAAGGGGGUAUGCCGAAUGGAGGAACAUUUUCAGGGAACGUCGAAUACGUGCCUUGUAUGCCUUGCAUUAUAGACGUAGGCAUACUAUAAGGCAUGUUUUCCCUCGUAACUGUUGGAACAAUUUGUGCCUGUACUGAUGUAGAUACAGGCAUUUCUGCAACUGCAGAAAUUGCUACAUUCUGGGUUGGCAUAGUGGUGCCAUGCCCCAUUCCAGUAGACACUUCUUCAUUAUUGUUACCGCUACUUCCCCCAGGGCUACUCUGAUUACCCACGUUAGAUCCUUGGGGGGAGGUUCUUCCUCGAUUACUUGCCAUACUCAAAGUCUUACCACUUCUCAGGUGCAUAUAAAUCACAAUCAAGGCAAGUAGCAAAUACCAAAUAGCAUGCAGCAAACAAAACACACAAAACGCUUCUGUAAAACUUAGUUUUCACAAAAACGGUCCCACUGGGCGUGCCAAUUUGUUUACACGGAUUUUUGGUAAACAAAUAUCCUCUUAGUUCGACUAAAGGAAGUUUAGAUUCGGGGUCCUUUUGAGAAAACGCUUUGCCAAAGUGUAGUGUGUGAACGAGUGUAUUCUCGACAAUAAUAAACAACUCAAACGAAACUGGACUUUAUUGAGUAUGAGUCGAUUACAAAACAGUCAAGCAAACUUAAAAUAGCAUGAAAGCAAAUUUCGACAAAACAAGUUACACAUAAGAACUGGGAAUUAACAAACUGAAAUACAAGGAAAUUAAAGCGUUGGUUCUGCAACAUACUCCUCCAUCAUCACGUUCUGCUCUCGAAGUCUCAUUGAUGCGGACGUUUGGAGCUUUUGGUGAAUUUUCAGAGUUUUUAGUUGGGAACCCUUUCUUCUGCUGCUGCUUCCUCUAUUUAUACUGUUCUUUCUGCCCAUGUUCUUGGCGGUUUUACUUGGAUGCACGAUGGCUUCGUGGGUUUUGAAUUUUGGCGCCAUACCCCACGUUUAGCCGAUGGUCUUCGCGCACGUGACUCUAUUGCCACGUGGAUGGUUCUGAGUCGCGGGCAACCGUUGCUAUUCGUGGCAUCGUGGGUGUACGCACGUGCUUGUAAUCGCUUGUUAUUCGGUAACUGCCCCUUCCAUUAAGAUGAUCGAGAUUUCUUCAUCUUCUGAGUGUGUCGAGUUAUGGCUUUUACUAACUUGUCUUUGAGGGACAUCGUGUGCUGAGUUGCCGGCUUCGCCCAACCCCUUCUGUCGAGAAACCACUUUUUGCACCAUGGUGUCGAUAAUUGUAAUGCUUGUAAUUUUGGCUUAACACAGCUGCACACAAGAUACUGUGUACUCAAAACCUAAACGUGCUAAAACCUCUACAAUAAUGUUUAGAAUUUCGGAAAAGAUCAAGAAGACUAAUUUUCCUUCAUAUAUAUCAUGUUCUACGAGUUCACCUUCUUAAAAAGUUCACCAAUCCUUUUUACCUUCUACUAACUCUUUUCUUUUCCAUGAAAACCAUAAUAAUACUAAUAUUAAAUGUCAAUUAAAACCGUAACAGAUUUAAUUGCUAUUGGAUUGUACAACCGUGGAAAAAGAUUUAAUGUGAACUGAAGAAUUUAAAACCAAUAUAUGUUUUAAUUGGGUAGGUGGAAAAACCUGUCGAAAAAAAACUGGCAUGCCAUUAAUUCUUACAGUAUGCUCAAAUUACUUGUUUCAAUUUUGUCAUGUUUGUUAUGGAGUGUGAUAGACCGCUUAAAUUGCCGCGAGAGCGGGGAAUGUCCAAACGUAAACAGAGAGAGGUUUUUUUUCAAGGUUUUGUUUGCCACCUGUUGAAAUGACAAAGAGAGCUAAUGAAAAGUUCCAAACAAUAGAAAGUCAAAAAACAAUGAGUGGUGGAGCUAGACGCAAGGUGCACCAAAGAGAAAACCUCGGCAGGACGAAGCUCACAUGACUGAAAAUAGGUGAGACAAUGGGAUAUAAAAAGGGAGAAAUCAUGUAAGUGCAAGAGGCAGAAGAAGAGAAACAAUCUAUCUUCUUCCAAAUAAAAAAUAAAGGAAGGAGAUAGGAAAGGGUUGAAAAGGAUAAAAAAAAAAUUACAUUAGAUACAUUGUUGGCUGAAGGAAAAAAAUUCAAAAAAAUGGCUCGUGGAGCGAUUAUUGCAUCCAUGCUCUGCCUUCUGGCUGUAGCAGUGGUGGCUGAAGACCCUUAUAUCUAUUACACAUGGAAUGUGACCUACGGUACCAUUUCACCUCUUGGAAUCCCCCAACAGGGUAUCCUCAUCAAUGGUUUGUUCCCAGGACCUGAAAUCAACUCCACCAGCAACAACAACAUUGUCAUCAACGUGUUCAACAACCUUGACGAGCCAUUGUUGUUCACAUGGAGCGGUAUCCAGCAGAGGAAAAACUCAUGGCAAGAUGGUACAUUGGGAACUCAGUGCCCCAUCCAGCCAGGAACCAACUACACAUACAAGUUCCAGGUCAAGGACCAGAUCGGUAGCUACUUCUACUACCCCUACACCGGCCUCCAGAGAGCCGCCGGUGGAAUCGGUGGUUUGAGAAUCUACUCCAGGUUGUUGAUCCCUGUCCCAUAUGCUGACCCUGCUGAUGAAUACUGGGUCCUCAUGGGUGACUGGUACGCCAAGCCCCACACCACCCUCCAGAAGUUUUUGGACAGUGGUCGUAGCCUUGGAAGGCCAGAUGGCGUCCACAUCAUGGGUAAAAAUGGUAGCCCAGUCCCACUCUACACCAUGGAGCCUGGAAAGACCUACAAGUACAGGCUCUGCAAUGUGGGUAUGAAGGACUCCCUUAACUUCAGAAUCCAAGGCCACCCAUUGAAGCUUGUUGAGAUGGAAGGCUCCCAUGUGGUGCAAAACGUCUACGACUCCCUCGACAUCCAUGUUGGUCAGUGCUACUCUGUCCUCGUGACUGCCGACCAGGAACCAAAACAAUACAAGAUGGUCGCCUCCACACGCUUCACCAAGAAGGUGUUGUCCGCCACCGCUCUCAUCACCUACUCUAACGGUAACGGUCCCGCCUCCCCUGAGCUCCCACCUGCACCUGAAGGCUGGGCCUGGUCCCUCAACCAGUUCCGUUCCUUCCGUUGGAACUUAACCGCUAGUGCUGCCAGGCCUAACCCUCAAGGCUCUUACCACUACGGCCAGAUCAACAUCACCCGAACCAUCAAGCUCGUGAACACCGUCUCUAGGGCUAACGGAAAACUCCGAUACGGAAUCAACGGUGUGUCCCACGUUGACAACGAAACCCCACUCAAGCUCGCCGAGUACUUCGGUGUUGCUGACAAGGUUUUCAAGUACAACAUCAUCUCCGAUGAGCCCCCGGCAACCAUCGGUGACCUCACCUUGGCUCCCAAUGUCAUUAACGCCACUUUCCGUACCUUCAUCGAGAUCAUCUUCGAGAACCCCACAAAGGUUGUUCAGUCAUACAACUUGGAUGGUUACUCCUUCUUCCUUGCCGCAGUUGAGCCAGGGAAAUGGACACCCGAGAAGAGGAAGAACUACAACCUUUUAGAUACAGUGAGCAGGCACACCGUUCAGAUAUACCCCAAGUCAUGGGCAGCAAUCAUGCUUACAUUCGACAACGCUGGCAUGUGGAACUUGAGGUCAGAGCACACCGAGAACCGCUACCUUGGUCAACAAUUGUACAUCAGUGUCUUGUCUCCUGAACGCUCUCUCAGGGAUGAGUACAACAUUCCAGAAACCCAGCUCCUUUGCGGCAUCGUCAAGGAUAUGCCCAAGCCCGCACCCUACUCUUAAGCAUUUAUCAACCUGCAUUAAGACGAUGUAUUAGCUUUAUUUUGUAGCUGAUGUAUCCACCGACCCUUUCCUGAAUGCCACAAAUUUUCAGCUCCAUAUGUAUACACAUAUAUAAUAUGAAUGUCAAAUUCUCCUUCCAAUCCACUUCUAUGUGGGUUUUGUCAUGGAAUAUGUACACACAUCAGUUCUUUCAUUAAUUUCAAGUGACGGAAAUUAAACUUUACUCAAGCUAGAGCUACUACGACCUGAGCUCACACCAUAAGCAGAAGGAUAUAUAAUUGAACUAACCAAAAGAACUAAAUAUUAAGAAGAAAUUAUUAGUCUGUUUGUGCUGGUUUGGGUGGGUUGUGCCCAGAGGCGGACCCAGAAAUUUUGUGACACCUGGGCAAAAUUUUCACAUCGUCUUGAAUAUUUGGAGGAUACUCAUUAAUUUGUUUCCUACGCCCUGGAUCACGCACAAUCUCAUUCGGAUGAAACUCAUUGACCACAUUAGGCGAUGGUUCUACUUCGGCUUCCGGUUGUACAACAUUCACAUUCUCAAUACUUGCUCUAGGAACCAAGAACUUCCUCAUCUCUAAAAUUUAAUGAUCUAAAGAAACAACAAAGAAAAGCACAAUUAGAAAUUAUGAUCAAAUUAAAAAAGCACUAAAAACAACACUAAUAAAUAAAAAUGAAAAGGAGACAAUCUAUAUUCACAUGAUUAGUAUAUUGGAUGUACAAAAAAUGGAAGAGAAGAGAUCAUGGACCACAAGCAAUUACCAAAUUUUGGACCACAAGCAAUUACUAAAUUGAAUUGAAUACAUUACACAUUAUACAAUAUACAUGGCAAAUGGCAAUUGUUGGCAAGUGGCAAACCGCAUCUCAUGACUCAUGUAAUCUGUCUCUCACACUUUUCUAACUUAUCCUUCACACACUCACAUAGUCACACAUGACACAUACAAUUAAUAUUUGAUUCAAGAAUACCAAACCCAACUCACUCACGCAUCUCUCACUCUCUGUCUCACUUUUCCCUUUUUUUUUUACCUUUUCUGCCUUAACCUUUCUCUCAGUCUCUCACUCAGUCUCUCUCACCGCUCACCUCCUCUCCUCUGUUCCUCUCGACAACGCCCACGCCACGCCUCACCCACACGACACGCAGGCCGCAACCGCGCCCUCACCCACACCGGCACACGCAGGCCGCAGCCACGCCCACGCCCUCACCACCCACCGCCUCAGGCGGCCCUCACCCACGCCCUCACACCACAGCCCACAGGUCUCACUCACGGCACACCCCCUCACAGAGUCACAAUAGGAUAUUGAGAUUUACAGAGCAAAUAAGUUUGAAGCUAGGAUGGAGAAAUCAGAGAGAAAGAGACCUGAUUCCUGAAGAUUGAAGCUUGAAGAGUAAGAGUACUCAGAGAGAAAUGAAGAUUGCUGAAGAUUGAAGGGAAGCCUGAAGAUUGAAGCCUGAAGAUUGAAGUCAAUUGAAGUCUGAGAAGGAAAUUGAAGCGUGAUUUGAAGCCUGAAGGGAGAAAGUGAGUAGGAAAUUGAGAAUAGGGUUUCUAUUUUAUUAUUUUCCCCUUUCUUUUCCCCUUUAUAAAAUAGUCCUCAAUUUUACCCCAACCUUUAAAUUUUGCCCUUUUUUAUUUUUUUUUUGAGGCCCAAAAGAUGAUGUGGUCCAAAGAAAAAAAUUUUUUUUUGGUCAGAGCUUGGGCAUUUGCCCUAGGUAGCCAGGCGCUCAAUCCGCCUCUGGUUGUGCCUAUAUACUAGCUAAUAUCGGCAUUUGUUUCGUUUUUUAUUUGUAUUUUCCCUUUGCUAAAUUUUGUACUUUGUUCGUGGGUUUGAAGUACCCUUUUACUUCCUUUAAUAAAAUGUUUCUAUAAAAAAAAAAAAGAAUAAUAGAGCGAUCAAAUGGAAAUGUAUAUGCUUAAUACGGAUUCAAAAUUCUAAACAUUCGUUCGUGGUGUAUAAAAUGCACUGUUUAUAAGUUAUUUUACAAUGAUGAGCCAUUAAAUUGUUUUCUAAUUUUUUCCCGAGUAAUGAUAUAUACACACCUCCUUAUUUAUACACUUCAUUUCCACCUAUUUUUAUUUCUAUCUCUCUCCUCUUAUCAUCUAUCAUAUCUUAUACUUUCUCUUUCUUACUUUUUAUUUUCUUCCUAUCUCUCUCCUCCUCCACCUCUUUCCACCUCAAUUUAGAGGUGUGGACAAAUAAUUAUUGAUUUUUUCCCUAUUGUGUUGUUUGGAUAUAUACAAUUGCAUACGUGUCAUGUGUACUUGUCAUUUUAUAGAUUUAAAUAUGUUUUUAUCAUGACUUAUAUACACUUAUAAUAUAAUACUAGUGUUUUUUUCCCGUGCGUUGCACGGAAAAUAUAUCUAUUGUUUUUUAUACAUCAAUUAAUCAUGAAUGUGAUUAUGCGAGUUCAUUUUCAGUUUUUUUUAAUUCUAAGUUAUUUAUGUUUUAAUUUUUUUAAAGUUGUUCUCAAUAUGUGUUCAGGGAACACGUGUCUACAAUAUCUUAGAUAAUUAGGGACAACCCUUUAAAAUUUAAUGGAUUAUAAUCUCAGCACUACAUAUUUUAUUUUCAAUCAUAUUGUAGAUCAUGAGAAAGAAUAAAAGGAGAAAUCAAAGGAUUCCUGUAAAUAUGCAGUAAAUUAGACUUGAGACUUUUCCAAAUUUAAAGAGAUAAUGAAAAUGGUUUCAAGAUUUGUUUUGGAAAUAAAUUUAGUAAGGAGUAAUCUAGGUUAUUCUUAGAUAAUUAGGGCAAAUCUUUAAAAAUUCGGUUUUAAGAUAAAAUAACACAACAGAAGAGAAACUAUCUAAUGGAAUGACACGUGAAUAUUUUUUUUAUGGGAAUUAACCUGAGAAUGACAAGUGAAUUUUUUUUUAUGAGAAUUAACAUGAGAAUGACAUGUCACUAAAUCAGCCUGAUAUAAGUUAUUCUUUUCUAUUGUAUAUAUAUUGGUUGAUGGUAUUCGAAAGAAAAAUCCUCUUUUUUCCCCUAAAUAAUUUUGUUUUAUUUAAAAUGGUUCCUCUAAUGUCAUAAUGCGAACAAAGGUUAUAGGAAAUUAAAGUUUGUGUGGGGAUAGACUGUAAGGAGCUUGUUUCUCUUGCGAUUGAUACUAACAGAGACAGAAUCCGAGUCCAUCCUCAAGCCUCCAUUAUCCGUGAUAUUAAGAUUCUCCUGGAUUUGGAUUGGCGGGUUGAGCUUUCCUGGAUUCCCAAUGAAGCCAAUGUUGCGGCUGAUUGCUUGACCUAACAGGGCGCUCAUUCAUCCCUUCCUGGGUUGCAUAUGGUGACUAAUGUUGCUCCUGAGUUAGACUGGUUGAUCCUUAAGGAUGCCUUAGUUGUUCCUUAGUUUGUUGUUGCUCUGUUGUCAUUUUUCCGAAGCACCAAAAAAAUAAUAAUGCUUAUUUGUCAUUUUUUAGUUGGGAUAAAUAUGUAUUUGGUUCUUAAACUAUAGCGAAUUAUUAUUAUUAGUCCCUGAAUUAAUUUUUCAUUGAAAUCCAUCCCUUAACUUGUUGGCGUGUGAGGUUUUGGUCCCUCGAGUCAUUUGAAUGAUUACGUAGCAUAGUGACGUGUAUGUAUUUUAUGAUGUGUUAUUUUUAGUCUAAAAUUUCAGUUCAAAUAUUUUGUGUGCUUUCUCCUUUGUGACAAUUUUAAGCACUUAAAAAUCAAGUCUUUAACCAUAAAAUUUUCCAUCUAUUUUCUCAACUUCUCUCCAAAUUUUCUUUUUAAGACUUUAUCACUAAUUGCAUAUUCAAUUAAACAUCAUUUUUAAGACAAGUUUUAGAAUAAAAAUAUUCUCCUUUUCCAUGCAUAGUCUCGCUCAUACAUUCCUAACUAUCAUGAUUGAUUAUCUUUAAAAUCAACUAACAGAAGGUAAAUCUAUGAUGAAAAAUAAUUCAAAGUUUAAAAACAAGACUUUAAUCAUUAAGAAAUUUCACAAGACUUAAACUUUAAGGAAUCAAAUUAGAGGUCUAGUAUGCUUUUGCAAAAUCGAAUAAGAAACCUCACUCUAUAUUGGAAUAGGCUUUUGCAAAAUCCAGUUUAACAAAAUGCCACCUUCAUCCAUUUUCUUCAACAAAUCAACUAUUUCAUUUGCUUUAUACAAUGCAAUUAGCUAUUUGCCUCUUUCUUUUUAUCUUGUUAUUGCUUCUUUUUGUUUCUUUAUGCUUUUGUGAGAUACUAUAUUCUUGACUCAUAGUUUUUUUUUUUUUUUUUGAAAUAAGAAUGAACUUUCAAUAAUACGGGAAAUCAGAACAAGCUACAUCCAUGAUGUUUGGAGGGACAUACCCCAUCGAAAUUGAAUCAGAAGAAGAACAAGCUAUAUUAGCAAGAAAAUGAGCAAGGUUAUUCUGUGUUCUAAAAACAUGAGAAACAGAAAAAAAACUCAAAACCAGAAACUAAGCUACAGCAAUCAUCAAUGAUAAGUUGGAGAUCUGGGGAAAGCUGUCCAGCCCGAAAACCACGCGCAACAACAAGGGAAUCUGUCUCAGCCAGAACUCUGGUAAAACCAUGAUGCACCAUGAGUGUGAAUGCCCACCUCAAAGCCAAGGCUUCAGCCAUAGAAAUACUUACCUCAACCUUACAUCUACUGCAAGCAGCCAUAACCACCAAACCAGUAUGAUCCCUAAGGACACACCCCAUACCGAGCCACCCUUCCUUGAUGCUGGCAUCAACAUUUAAUUUGAGUUUCCCUACAUCUGGAGGCUGCCAUCUUCUCAACUCUUUGGGUUUCUUCUGCCUUAUGUGCCCCUCAUUCCUUGAAAUGAACUCUCUAUCAAAAAGAGAAGCAACCUGAAAAGCUCUUACAGGAUCAGCAACCUUUCCUGAAAAACAUAAGUCAUUCCGAGCCUUCCAAAUGGACCAUAACACAUGACAAAUCAAGGACAAGUGGUCACAAUCAUUCAACCCCAACAGAUUUUGAAACCAAGAAACCACCUCAGCCGAAUUGAGAACACAGUGGGAUAAACCCGACCCAAACCAUACAGCCCUGGAAAAUUCACACUCAAGAAACAAAUGAUGCAAUGACUCAGAAGCACCACAACAAAGGGGACAAACAAUAUCCAGAGCAAUACCUUUUUUCACAAGAUUUUCCCUAGUAGGCAAAAUCCUAUUCAUCAAUUUCCAGAGAAAAAUUCUGAUUUUAUGAGGAACAUCAACCUUCCACAAAUCAUUCCAAGUUGAACAAGGAAGAAAAGAACUAGAAGCACCAGGGCCAGAACUUGAACAUGAACUGAGCAUUUGAUAGGCAGAUUUAACAGUGUAAUUCCCAUCAUUGGACCAAUGCCAAGCAAACUUGUCUUCAGGGAGCCUAAUCGAAAGAGGAAUUGAUAGAAUCUUAUCAGCCUCAAAACCCAUAAAGGAGGACUUAAUUAAGUCCUCAUUCCACCUUUUCUGCUCAAAAUCGAUAAGCAUACUGACCUUAGCAUCCUUAGGCAGAUCAAUUGCAGGACUCCAGACCUUAAACCCUGACUGAUUAGGCAACCAACCAUCCUGGAAAACUCUGACAGAUUUACCAUUCCCAAUAGUCCACCUAGAGCCUUUAGAAAUCACAUGCCUCGCAGCUAGAAUACUCCUCCAAGAAAAACUAGGAAGAUACCCCAACUUAGCAUCCAUAAAAGAAGUCCUUGGGUGGUAUCUACUCUUAAAAAUCUGAGCAACCAAAGAAUCAGCCCUGUUAAUCAGCCUCCAACAUUGCUUACCGAGUAUUGCAUCAUUAAAUUUUCUAAGGCACCUAAACCCCAAACCUCCAACAGCCUUUGAUCUCUUAAGCCUUUCCCAACUCAUCCAAUGAAUUCCUUUAUCCUUAGAAUUAUUUCCCCACCAAAACCUAGCCAUCAUACUCUCCAUAGCUGAAACACACCCUUCAGGAAGCUUAAAACAGCUCAUCACAUAGGUGGGAAUCGCUUGCGCAACAGACUUCAAUAAAACCUCCUUGCCCGCACUUGAUAAAUGCCUCUCCUUCCACCCCUUUAACCUCUUCCAUAUCCUAUCCUAGACUAGAGAGAACACCACUUUCUUUGAUCUCCCAAAAACAGUGGGAAGACCAAGAUAUCUAGAAUGAGAUUGAACAGUCUUGACACCCAUCCUUUGCUGGAUUGCAUUUCUAACAUCUACCGGCACAUUAUGACUGAAAGAAAUCUCAGAUUUAUCUAGAUUCACCAACUGUCCCGAUGCUCUCUGAUAAUCAUCAAGGAUGCUCAAAACAGAAUCAGCCUCUUUGAGAGAAGCACGAGCAAAAAGCAGACUGUCAUCAGCAAAUAGGAGGUGUGAAAUCACCGGGGCACCUCUUGCAAUCCUCAAUCCAUGAAUCUGCUGGUCUCUCAUCCUGGAAUUGAUUAAACAAGACAAGGCAUUAUCACAUUGGAUAAAGAGAUAGGGGAAAUCGGAUCCCCUUGUCUCAACCCUCUAGAGGGAACAAUUUUGCUGCUUGGAAAACCAUUGAACAGAAUUUGAUAAGACACCGAGGAUACACAAUCUAUGACCAGCUUAGUAAACCUGCUAGGGAACCCCAUAUGGACCAAAACACCCUUGAGAAAGCUCCACUCCAUCCUAUCAUAUGCCUUUGCCAUGUCGAGCUUCAAAGCCAUCAUUCCUUUUUUCCCUUUUUUCUUCUUCUUCUGUAAGAUCAAGUUUUGAUCUAGUAGUACAACUCUAUGUUUUGAUGAUUACAAGUUAACCUUUUGAUAUGAAUAAUUAUGGUACUCUAACGUGUUUUUCUGAGUGUGCUAUUUACAGGCUCUGACCUUGAUUCAGUCUCACAUAAAUCAGAAGCACUGUGCAUAAAGAGUGACCCAAGCAACGCUUUCGCAACAUCUAUGUUCACUCUGAACAGUAGAAAUGCUUCAGAAGAUCUGAAGUUAUACAAACUCUGAUAUGGACUCAGCCACCAGAAGUUCUGAAGAUCCAGAAGUUCUGACAACCAAGAAACUCUGAAGGUUCAGAUGUUCUGAUGGUGUAGAAGACUCUGAAGAUUCAGAAGCUGAACAGUGGAAACUCUGAUGUCCAGAAGCAAGAAACUCUAAAGACCAUGUACUUCCCUCUGAGUCCAGAAUCAGAAGAUACAACGGUCAGAGGAUCUGUGCUUUCCCUCUGACUCUGAUCAACCGGCUUCACAAGUUCCAACAUGAAGCAUUCCCCUGAUCAGAAGUCUCCUAGGUUUAAAGGUCAAGUCGCUAUCCAAGUACAAAAGCAAAUUGUACUAUCCUGACGACCUACCUAACAUCCUCAGCCACAGCAGAAGCUGGAAUUUCCAGAACUUCCCUCCAACGGUAGCAUUUCCAUGCAACGUUCAACCCUAAUCCUUGGAGUAUAAAUAGAGGCUGAAGAUUGAAAGAAGCGGCUAGAAGCAUUCAUACACGCGCAAGAAAUAUUCAAAUCCUUCUAAGCUUUCUUUCAUCUUGAAUUUCAUUGUGUUUACUAUAAGCUUUUUAGAAGCACCUUCUUUGUAGACAAGAACUUCAUAUACAGUUGUAUAGUUUGCCUUUAGGAGAUCAAGGUUGAUCGGAUCCUUGAGAAGACUAAGAGAGUGAAUCUUAGUGUGAGCUAAGUCAGUGUAUUGUUAGUCACUUGUAGGUUUCAAGUGCAGUUGUAACACAUACCUGAUUAGUGGAUUGCCUUCAUUCUAAGAAGGAAGAAAUCACCUUAACGGGUGGACUGGAUUAGCUUGAGUGAUUUAUCAAGUGAACCAGGAUAAAAUCCUUGUGUGCUUUUCUAUCUCUUAUCUUUAGCACAUAGUUUGUUUCGAAAGAUUUGCCAAAAUCUUUAAGGUGGAAGUUUUAUCUUGAAAACGUUAUUCAAACCCCCCCCCCCUUCUACCGUUUUUCAUACCUUCAUCUUCAACCAAUGGAAACACUCAAGGGUAAUCAAAGCAUUAUCGGUAAUGAGCCUACCCGGAAUAAAUGCACUUUGAGCUGGAUCAAUAAUCUUCGGCAACACCCCUUUGAUCCUAUUAGCCAUUGCUUUAGUGACUAUCUUCAUAACAACGUUGCACAAACUAAUGGGCCUAAACUCCUUCGGGAUGGAUGGCUUCUUACACUUAGGAAUAAGGGUAAUGAAAGUGGAAUUAAUACUUUCCGGACUCAAACCCUCAUUCAGAACAGCCAACACAUGCUUAACAACCGACGCACCAACAAUGUGCCAAUACUCUUGGAAGAACUUUGCUGGGAGACCAUCAGGCCCAGGGGCCUUGAGAGGAUGCAUUUGGAAUAUGGCCUUAACAACUUCAUCCUCCUGAAAAUCACUAUCAAUCAAAUCCACAUCCUGCUGCUCCAACUUGGUGUCAAUGGCCCUGCAAAUGUCAGGGGGUUCCUCCACCAUUUGGGAAGUGAAAAUAGAUGAGAAAUAACUGUUCAGAAUAGCAGAAACGUUCUCAGGCUUGUUGUACCACACACCAUCCUCUCCUUUCAGCUUUUUAAUGCUAUUCACCGCCUGCCUUUGAUUUGCUUUAGCAUGAAAAAACCCAGUAUUCCUGUCCCCAUCUUUUAACCACAUAGCUCUGCUCCGUUGCCUCCACAUAGUCUCUUCAAGCUGCAAAAGCAGCGAGUGUUCUUCUACCAUCUCCUUAAAUUUCGCCAGAUUUUCAGGUUUAUCAUCCCAAGAAGCAUCCUUCUGCAACUCACCCUCUAGAAAAAUGAUUCUCUUUCUGAAAUUUCCCACAGUGUAACCUCGAAAGGUAUUCUUAAGACCUUGAAUACUACCAAGCUUCUUAACAAAAUCAUCUCUUUGCCCAAUCCAAGCAUGGAAGAUCUCCUCCUCGCACCUUGGAUCCAAACACCACACCUCUUCAAACCUAAAAGGACGUUGUUGUCUUCUCAUAGGGACAUCCAUAAACUUCUCAAUGGAGACAGAAAUAACUGCAUGAUCUGAACCAUAUCUUCCCAAGUGCUGCACAGAACUAGCAGGAAAAAUCUGAGAAAAUACCUCAGUACAUAAAGCUCUGUCCAGCCUAGCCUGAAUAUUUGCAUCACCUGAUAUGCCAUUAGUCCACGUGAGAGGAUAGCCACUAAAGCCCAAAUCAACUAGCCCAAGAUCAUCCAUAACAUCCCUUCCCCUCUGCAACUGAGAAUCAGACCGCGAAAUACCACCUUUCUUCUCAUUGUUCGAGAUAACAUCAUUCAAGUCCCCAACCCCAAGCCACCUCAACCCCCCCCCCUCCUGAACUAGAGACCUGAUUAGAGACCAAGUCCUCUCCCUCAGCCUCGUACACGGGUAGCCAUAAAUCCCAGAAAAACACCAAGGGUCUUCAUCCUCAACUACAGAAACAGAGAUAUGAUUGUUUGAAAAAGAAAUGAGAGAAACAUUCAAAGAUUCAGACCACCACAAAGCUAGCCCCCAUUUUCUCCCCUUGCCAUUAUCAACACAAUCCACAACCAAAAAAUUCUUAAGACCAAAGUCCAACCUUAUUUUUUCAAUUUCAAACUUUUUCAACCUGGUUUCCAUCAAGAAAACCAAUUGAGGAAUCUCUUUUCUUACGAGCCUUUGCAAGGCCCUAACUUCCUGGGGACUCCCCAAACCCCGGCGGUUCCAGCUAAGGAGUUUCAUGGCUGUAGGCAAUGUUGGUCUCCCAACAUCGCCUCUAAAUGAGCAUCAGCCAUAUCCACAUCCAUCAUCAAUUUCUUGCUUAAGUGACCCCGAAAAGUCUCAUCAUCCACUUCCACAAUAUCCACAUCAAUCAGGCUUCUCUUCUUAUCUAAACAAGAGAGGACUUUGCAAUUGUCACAGCAGCCCUACUAGCAUCAAGUCUCUUCCAACCUCUCUCGGUAGUCACCUUCUUUUCACUAGAGCUCCCAACACAAAAAGAUAGCUCAGCCACAGGAGCACAAUUUUCCUUAACCUCAGAAUCUGAGCCCUGCUUUAGAACAACAUUACCAAGUGCCUCAAGCACAUCAUCCACUUGUUGGACCACCAUACCACACUCAACAGCAGAAUUUUCAGGGGAAACAUUUGUGAUAUCAGAUAGAACAUGACUAGACAUCCCACCCACAAGAAACUCCUUAGCAGGCCCAACAGAAACAACACUUGGGGCCUUAGCAUCAGCAGCAAGUUCACCUAUACUUCUUUCAGAAACAGGAACCACAGUAGAGUUCUCAAGAUCAGCAAAAGGAACUCUAUCAGCAGACACACCAGAAUUCUUAGUAUCUGAAGACACCUUAUCAACCAACAAGCACAAAUCAUUUUUCCUUUGAACAUCCUUAUGCCUGGUUACCACCUUGGAACCACCACAGCCAAACCUAACCACACCAACAUCAUCAGAACGACCCACGGAUCCCUCACCAGCCCUCCCCACACCAUCAAUAGCAGAACGAAAUAGGGACUCACAACCUUUAGACUUCAUAGGAUGAGCAACAUCCUCACCAAAAGGGGAAGCCCUCAACCAUGGCCCAAAAGGAAAGUCCACAGCAUCAUGAUCCUCCUCAACAUCCUCAAAUUCAUUACAAUCCUUGAUCUGAUGGCCUAUUCUUCCGCAAGCAAAGCAAAAAUUAGGAAGCCUCUCAUAUCUGAAAUAAACCUUAAGCUCCUUCCCUUGCCAAAACAACAUCGUACCCCUGAGAAGAGGCUUGGUAAGAUCAAUGGUAACCUUAAUCCUGAAGAAGAGGCCCAAACGGUUCUCAAGCUUACAAUCAACCUCCACAAAGCUACCAAUUGAAUCCCCCAACCUCCUGGCAACUGCUUCAGACUUCAAUUUCAGAGGGAGAUCAUAAACCCUCACCCACAUAUCCACAGAGGAGAGCUCAAUUUUAGAUGGCUGAUCUUCAUCACUGAAUUUCUUAAGCACCAAUAUACUACGAUCGAAACUCCAUGGACCCCCUUGGAUCACAGAUAUGAGAUCCUUUGAUGUAGCAAAUUGAAACAAGUACCGAUUCUUGGAGAUCUCAUUGAUUUCGACUGGAUGUCGCCACGCCGCCUUCAUAGUGUUCAUGAACGCCCUAACAUUGUGCGAACCUUCAGACCACAACUUCCCAGCCAGCAACCGAGAGGUAAGAUCAUCAUCUCUACACUCAUCCUCAUCGAUUGUAACACUGCUCUGGAUCUCAGAAGCAUUGAGAUCGAAAUUCCGAUGCAUCGUAGAACACAGGGAAACAAGGAGAAAACUACGAAGAGAGAAAAAACAGGAAAGAGACAGAGAAUCAAGGAGCGAACCAGAGAAUCAGAGAGCAAGAUGAAGAAGAAGAGCCUAGGGAGACCUAGGAGAAGACCACCAAGUCGGUGGAGAUCUUGACUCAUAGUUUGGUCUAGCCCUUACUGUAAUAUAAUUCUCUUUUAAUAUAGAGUUUGGGCUAGCUCUUUUAAUAUAAUUCUCUUUUUGGUUUUCCGAAAAAAAAAAGUGAAGGUAAAUUGGCCUCCAGAACCUUUAAGAUAAGCUUCUAUUCACUCCCAAUCAAACUGAUGGGCCUGAAGUCAAGCAUAGAUUGUGGAUAUUACGUUUCAGGAUUGCAGAGAUGAAAGGAGCAUUUAAAACCCUUACAAUUUUCCAAGACUCAUGGAAUUCAUGGAAGAAUUUGACCUCAUUAUUGAGAUUGAGAUUGAAUUUGUCCGGGCCGAAGCUUGAUUUCCAUCACGAUUUUUAUCACUCCCCAAAGUUUCAAAUUCUGAAAAGUUUGCUUCUAAACGAGCCUUAUCCCUGUGACUUAUCUUUGAAAGUUUGAGCAUCUGAGCUUGCAAUUGGGUCGCACCUUAUUUUCCCUUGAAAAAAAGGUUCUAAAUGAUUGAAAAUGGCCACCUCUGUUCAAAAAAAAGAAAAUGGCCACCUUAAUCGAUGUUGGAUCCUCAAUGUAUACCUCACCUACGUUCAAUUUCACUAUUCUUUUCUUUGCUUUCCUUCCUUCAACUAGCGUAUCCUAGCUUUUUGCCUCCACUUUUCAAAUCGUCACAACUCAACGACAUAAUUUAUCUGUCGCAACAUUCGGAACAGACUAUUACAUUUUUAUUUACGUCGUAUCAAAUAUUAUUAUUUCUGUAACCAACGGCGUCGCAAAAUUCAGGACGAAGCAUGAUAGUUUUAAUUCCGUCAUAACAAAAAAACAUUAUUUCUGUCAUCCAAUCGGUCGUAAAAAAAAUUUCUUCAAAAAUAUAAGUAUAUUCCGUCCCAAAAAAUUGAUUUCUUCCAUCGCACAUUAAUUAUUAAUUAAAUGAAUACUAUAAUUCAAUAUAUUAUGUCCUUAUUUCUGUCCCAAAAGCGCGACGAAGAAACAUUCUGUUCUAAAAACUUUGCGACGCACAAAAUCGCGAUGAAAUGUUUCAGUCGCACAUCCGUCCCAAAAUCAUUUAAGAAUAGAAAUUUUAACAAUCGUGUGACGAGGGCGGCGAUGUUCAACUUGAUUCCAGAGGAUUGGGGUGGUCACGUCACGCCUUGGGUCUCAGAGAUCAAACAGUACUUCAAUCGCCUCAAGAGUCUCCACUUUCGCCGAAUGAUUGUCACCAACUCCAGCAAGGAAACUCAUCCUUUUGGUACGAGAACUGGUUGGAAACUGGGGUCCUUUGUUCAUAAGUGCCUUUUGUGCACAUAAGUGACACAGCGUUGGCAGUUCGCGAUGUGUGAAAGACAAUGGCUGGAAGUUUGACUGUUUGUACACGGUGCUUCCAUCAGAGCUGAAGAAUAGGGUUCAAUCAACUGUAGGGCCAACGGGCGUGGAGCAUGUAGAUGCUUGGCGUUGGAAUGAGGAGCCUGAUGGUCAUUACACGUCCAGAUCCGCCUAUGCUUGGCUCAACCAUCGGGACAAUGAGGAGGGUGAACACCAGGUUUGGAUGCAACUGUUGAAAUUGAGGAUUCCGGGAAAAUGCAAAUUUAUGAUUUGGCUUGCGCUGCACCAAUCUUUGCCUGUGAAUGUGCACUGGCAUGCUUGCUCUCUUGCCACCAGCGCUGCGUGUGGUAGAUGCUCUACCCCAACGGAGGACAUUCUUCACUGUCUUCGUGAUUGUCCACACUCGAUGGAAGUUUGGACCAGGUUAGGCUAUGGAACCUUUGUGGGCUUCUUCUCACAAGACUCUUGGUCAUGGAUCCUGGCUAUUUUACGACAAGAAGAUACAGGGCGAAUUUUGUAUAUUUGAUGGUGGAUAUGGCGUUGGAGGAACAAUAUGGUGCUAGGGACAGAGAGAUGGGAAAUUGAAUAGGUGAUUUGCAAUGUGUGGCAGGACUCGAAAGACUCUAUGCUUGACACUGUCGUGGUGCACCAGUUCAGCACAAACAAAUCUUCUUGGGAGGCUCCUGAAAUAGGUUAGGUGAAGGUAAACGUUGAUGGUAGCCACCAUCGAGCAUCCUCUGGAAUAGCCUGCGGUGGUUUGAUUCAGGAUCACCAUGGAAAAUGGCUUCAAGGUUUUUCUGGUUUUGAAGGCCAGGGGGACGUGUACAUGGCAGAGCUUCUCGGAGUUCUCAGAGGCCUUCAGCUAGCGUGGCAUCAUGGUUACAGGAAGGUAGUUUGUGAAUCAGAUUCUUUGAGUGUGGUGCAAACCUUGUCGACAGGCAAAUCAGUAAACCUCCAUUCUUGUGCGGUGCUCUUGACAGAAAUUCAUUGUAUGCUUCUGGAGGAUUGGGAGGUGAUUUUCAAGCAUGUCUUGCGGGAUAAAAACAACGAAGCUGACACUCUAGAAAAGCUUGGCUUAGAGAAGAAGUGGAGGCUCACAACCUGGAAUUCCCCUCCCACUGAGCAUGUUCAGUUGGGAGGUCUAGUCUAAUUGUUUUUUCUUUUGUCUUUAUUUUCAUAAUCUACAAAAAAAAAAAACAUCAUAAUGUGAAUAUUUCCGCUCCUAUGAAUAAUGGAGUAUUAAUGGCACAAGUAACUUACUCGAAUUUUUGUAAUUUAGUUACUCUAAUAUGAAUGAUACAAAUGGUGGAUUUAUUUAUUUCCACUCUUCCCGCUUACCUCUAUAUCACUUUUGGUUCUUGCUUAAUGUUUCCACCGUUUCUACGGUAAACCUUUUAUGGAUUUAACAUUUGCUUUAUUGGUUAAUUUGUCCUUUUAAUGCAUUGAACAUUGGCUUUAUGGUUUGUAUCUGAAAGACUGAAACACAUUGAAAACCAAAAGGUUCCUUCUUUUGAAAUGGUUGCAUCUUUUAUAAAAGGAUAUCCAUGUUGAGUCGGAGAAGAUUUUGGAUUUUUCCAAUUAAGCAAGAUUUCAACAUGUAUAAAUUCUGAGUGUACAAUAUCUUGUAUGUGGCUAUGUUAUUGGAGAACAAACCUAACAUUAGAUUGCACUGGAGGUUUACCAUACUUUUACUUUCAAAAUAGUGAUUCGUCCACGGCGCAACUUUCCUCUUAUCUUCCAACAGAUGACACAUGUAAGAAUUGAAAUAGAACGCAAUUGUUUUUUCAAUCAAUUUUUUUUAUUGUUAUAGUUUUAAUAGAGCACAUGAAUAAAUUUAAAAUUUGACGAUUUAAUAAUAUCUAAUUAAUAUAUGUAAAUUCUGUGGCAUAGGUUAAUUUACUAGUUUUUAAAUAUAAGAAAGUAAUACACAAUUACAAGUGGCAUAGAUUUAAGAAAGUUCCAAUACCAUUUGAGGAGUUAAAUAAUUACGUUGAUGAAAAAAACAUAUACAAACUUAUUGUAGAUGGAUGGUUAGGCACUUGAUAAUCUCCUCUGGUUAGUUUUGUUCAAAAUAUAAGCAUUCUAACAAUAGCCAACGGGAAUGAGUUUCACAAGGAAAACGGGAAGAUGUAAGAGGAAGUACGCAUUCCAAGGAGCACCAGGAAAGGGAAGUGAGAGAUGAUAGCGGAGAGUUUGAGUGGUCAAGAGAUAGCAAUCCAAAUAUAUAUAAUAUGGUAAGAGGAUACGGAUGGUGUAAUGCUCUCUUCACACUAUAAAAUAGCAAAACGUCAUUGCUAGAAACAAAAGUACAAAUUUAAGGAGAAAAAGAAGAAGAUUAAGGAAAUGGACAUGGUACAAUUUUUGCUUUUGCUAUGCCUCUUAGUGGGGAUAACCUCAACGGUGCAUGGUGAAGACCCUUACUUCUAUUUCACAUGGAAAGUCACAUAUGGCACACUUUCCCCGGCGGGUGUCCCUCAACAGGUUAUUCUUAUCAAUGGUGAAUUUCCUGGACCCAACAUCAACUCGACCAGUAAUAACAACCUUGUUGUAAACGUCUUCAACCAACUUGAUGAGCCUCUCCUUUUCACAUGGUCUAGUACUUUCUCUAUUUUAUUAUGAACAAUUAAGAUUAAGAGUACCAAAACGGAAAAAUAUCACAUAAGCAUAUGAAUAACUUUGCUUUGCAGGGCGGGAGUCCAACAAAGGAAAAACUCAUGGCAAGAUGGGGUACCUGGAACUAACUGUCCCAUUGCUCCAGGAACAAACUGGACCUACAAGUUCCAGGUGAAGGACCAAAUAGGAAGCUACUUCUACUACCCAAGCUUGGGCUUGCAUAGGGCAGCUGGUGGAUUCGGUGGCCUACGCAUAAACAGUAGGUUACUUAUCCCUGUCCCCUAUGCAGAUCCUGAAGACGAUUACACUGUCCUCGUUGGCGACUGGUACACCAAGAGCCACUCUGCUCUCAAGAAAUUACUUGACAGCGGUCGCGCUCUUGGCAGGCCCCAAGCUGUUCUCAUCAACGGCCAAAAUGCCAAAGGAGACGGAACCGACAAGCCACUAUUCACAAUGAAGCCAGGAAAAACCUACAAAUAUAGAAUCUGCAAUGUGGGUCUGAAAAACUCCAUCAACUUCAGGGUCCAGCAACACUCCAUGUUACUCGUUGAAUUGGAAGGUUCCCACACCGUGCAAAACAGUUACGACUCACUUGACGUCCACGUCGGGCAGUGCUUUGGUGUCCUCAUAACUGCUGAUAAGGAACCGAAGGACUACUACAUGGUUGCCUCGACCAGGUUCACGAAAACUGUUUUGACCGGCAAAGGGAUCAUCCGCUAUACCAAUGGAAAGGGACCAGCUUCACCUGAACUCCCUGAGGCCCCUGUGGGCUGGGCCUGGUCUCUGAACCAGUACCGUUCCUUCCGUUGGAACCUCACUGCCAGCGCUGCCAGGCCUAACCCCCAGGGCUCUUACCAUUACGGCCAGAUAAACAUCACCCGCACUGUUAAGCUAAUUAACUCUGUCAGCAGGGACAAUGGGAAGCUCCGUUACGCGCUUAACGGAGUCUCCCACGUUGACCCAGAAACACCCAUCAAGCUCGCUGAGUAUUAUGGGAUUGGUGAGAAAUUUUUCAAGUACGACACCAUUCCAGAUAGCCCGCAAGGCCUUUCAAAUGCUGUCACCUUGCAAACCAAUGUUCUUAACUUCACCCAUCGCACCUUCAUCGAGAUCAUCUUCGAGAACCACGAAAAAAGUGUCCAGUCGUAUAAUUUGGCCGGCUACUCAUUCUUCUAUGUCGCG